CUUAUGAGCAACCCUUUUUCAUCUUUAUCUCUUGCAUCUGUUUGUAAUCAAUUUCCAUCUUUUACUUAACCAAUUUUUAUCUCAUUGUAACCAAAUUUCCAAUAUGGCUCACUACAGAGUUAGAACACUCUAUUCCAGCAUUUUCAUUAUCUUCCAGUUCUUCCCUUGUGUAAUCUUCAUCAUCACUCCCCGAAGACUCCAAUACUUGUUCCUUUUCUUUUAUUUACAAAUAUUCCUCGGCAACGAUUUUGAUUCUGUAUAUCCAACUUCCUUUUUCCUUCUUGAACAUUUUGUAAGAUGUGUCGUGCCUCUUUUACAACCUUGCAAUUAGAAAUCAAAGAAAAAUUAUUAAUAUCGACAUCAUCAAAUAGAGCAUUUAAGCAGGCAGAAUUCUAGUCUCAAUUUUUUAAUUCACUUGUAUAGAAACCAUCAAUAUUUAGACCACCCAUAUUCCAAUCAACGUUAAAAAAAGAUUUAUCAUAUUCAUUAUCAGUAGGUGGUUUCCAAUCAAUCUCUAUGGAUAAAUAUACACAUGGAUCAAUUGAUUGGAGAAAAUUUCUCAUUAAAAAAUUUCGAUAGUGGGGUUGUGGUUAUUUUGAUAAUUUGCCAAGUUGAAACUGUGGUAUAUUUUCCAAAUUUUGUUGCUGCAUUAUAGCAUUAUAGAAUUUUGUUGUAUUUCUCACGUUGCCGAAUUCACAAUUUUUUUUCCUUCAAGGAUGAGGGGGAGGAAUGUUGGUGUCUACUACCGCUGUAGAAGUACGGACCACUCCUUCCUCAAUUGCCCGAUAAAAUGACGAUGCCCAUGGUGUACGCACGGACUGCAAAAAUAUUUUGAAGUUGAAAGGGAGAUAAAGAACAAAUGGCAGUUAUUCAAAACAUGUAGUGUUAACUGUGGGUAUUUUGAUUGGGUCGUAAACAAAGAAUUAAGCGGUGAAUCUAGCACUACUAAUGAAGCAGUGAACCCAAAGCCAUCGAGGAAGCCGAAGAUUUGCCGACCAUGUUCGACAGUCUAGCUAGAAUAGUUGAAAAAAGAGAUACUGAAAUUUCAUUGAACAUAACAUUCCGCAAGGGAAAGGAAAGUGUCGAGGUGAAUGGGAAUGGAAAAGGGAAGGGCCACGCCCCAUAGGUAGUAGGCAAAAUUGAUUUUGAUGUUUCAAAAUAUUGCUUUGUUAUUUUUGUCCACAAAUAAAUUUUAAAUAGUAUGAUCUUAAUGUACUGCUAAGUACAUUUUUUAUUGGUUGCCUGUUCUGUGGUUGCAGACUGAUCUGCGUUUCUAGAGCCAUUCUGUUUUAGCACUUCAGGAGGCUGCAGAGGCUUACCUUGUUGGUCUAUUUGAGAACACCAACCUGUGUGCUAUUCAUGCCAAGCGUGUUACUAUCAUGCCUAAGGACAUCCAGCUGGCUUGUAGGAUUAGGGGUGAGAGGGCUUAAAUUGAGUAUAUUCUAUUGCUUAGGUUUGGUGGUGGUAAAUGGUGGCUAUGUUCAGUUUUAUCUUUAUUAAGUUUUAAAUAGGUAAUGGAUGUUUAAGAUGGUGGUUUUGGAGAACUUGUUUGGAUAAUGGCGGUGUGUGCUGUAAUGAAAUUGGUAAUCGUGUUUUGGAAUGCAAGUGGU
rnacentral:lncRNA from 1 species